AUUGAACGCUGGCGGAAUGCUUUACACAUGCAAGUCGAACGGCAGCACGGGGCAACCUGGUGGCGAGUAGCGAACGGGUGAGUAAUACAUCGGAACGUGCCCAAUCGUGGGGGAUAACGUAGCGAAAGUUACGCUAAUACCGCAUACGAUCUACGGAUGAAAGCGGGGGAUCGCAAGACCUCGCGCGAAUGGAGCGGCCGAUGUCAGAUUAGGUAGUUGGUGGGGUAAAGGCUCACCAAGCCGACGAUCUGUAGCUGGUCUGAGAGGACGACCAGCCACACUGGGACUGAGACACGGCCCAGACUCCUACGGGAGGCAGCAGUGGGGAAUUUUGGACAAUGGGCGCAAGCCUGAUCCAGCCAUUCCGCGUGCAGGAUGAAGGCCUUCGGUUGUAAAC
rnacentral:rRNA from 1 species